GUCCUCUUGUUUAUUUAUGAGGUCUGACCUGCCCAGUGAUUUAUUUUUAACGGCCGCGGUAUUUUGACCGUGCAAAGGUAGCAUAAUCAUUAGUCUUUUAAUAGGAGGCUGGAAUGAAUGGUUUGACGAAUUAUUAGCUGUCUCAUUUAAUUUAAUUUUAAAAUUUAACUUUUUAGUCAAAAGGCUUAAAUUUUUUUGGAAGACGAGAAGACCCUAUAGAGCUUUAUAAUUUAAUUUAUUUUAAUUUUUUGUUUAUUUUUAUUUAUAAUAAAUAUAAUUAUUUUGUUGGGGUGACAAAAAUACAUAAUUAACUUUUUUAUUAUAUUAACAUUGAUUUAUGAUUAUUAGAUCCUUUAUUAUUGAUUGAUAGAAUAAGUUACCUUAGGGAUAACAGCGUAAUCCUACUUUAGAGUUCAUAUUCGCAGUAGGGCUUGCGACCUCGAUGUUGGAUUAAGAUAAUAGUUAGGUGCAGCUGCUUAAUAUAUAGGUCUGUUCGACCUUUAAAUUCUU
rnacentral:rRNA from 1 species